UGCGUAGGCGGCUAUUUAAGUCAGCGGUGAAAGACUCCGGCUUAACCGGAGCAGUGCCAUUGAUACUGGAUAGCUUGAGUGUUGGAGGGGUACAUGGAAUUGAUGGUGUAGCGGUGAAAUGCAUAGAUACCAUCAGGAACACCGAUAGCGAAGGCAUUGUACUGGCCAACAACUGACGCUGAGGCACGAAAGUGUGGGGAUCGAACAGGAUUAGAUACCCUGGUAGUCC
rnacentral:rRNA from 1 species